rnacentral:rRNA from 1 species
AGCGAACGCUGGCGGCAGGCCUAACACAUGCAAGUCGAACGAACUCUUCGGAGUUAGUGGCGGACGGGUGAGUAACACGUGGGAACGUGCCUUUAGGUUCGGAAUAACUCAGGGAAACUUGUGCUAAUACCGAAUGUGCCCUUCGGGGGAAAGAUUUAUCGCCCUUAGAGCGGCCCGCGUCUGAUUAGCUUGUUGGUGGGGUAAUGGCCCACCAAGGCGACGAUCAGUAGCUGGUCUGAGAGGAUGACCAGCCACAUUGGGACUGAGACACGGCCCAAGCUCCUACGGGAGGCAGCAGUGGGGAAUCUUGCGCAAUGGGCGAAAGCCUGACGCAGCCAUGCCGCGUGGAUGAUGAAGGUCUUAGGAUUGUAAAAUCCUUUCACCGGUGAAGAUAAUGACUGUAGCCGGAGAAGAAGCCCCGGCUAACUUCGUGCCAGCCGCCGCCGUAA